rnacentral:rRNA from 1 species
CUACGGGGGGCUGCAGUGGGGAAUAUUGCACAAUGGAGGAAACUCUGAUGCAGCAACGCCGCGUGGAGGAUGACACUUUUCGGAGCGUAAACUCCUUUUAUAUAGGAAGAAGAUGACGGUACUAUAUGAAUAAGCGCCGGCUAACUCCGUGCCAGCAGCCGCGGUAAUACGGAGGGCGCAAGCGUUACUCGGAAUCACUGGGCGUAAAGAGCGUGUAGGCGGAUUAAAAAGUCAGAAGUGAAAUCCUAUAGCUUAACUAUAGAACUGCUUCUGAAACUCUUAAUCUAGAAUGUGGGAGAGGUAGAUGGAAUUUCUGGUGUAGGGGUAAGAUCCGUAGAGAUCAGAAGGAAUACCGAUUGCGAAGGGGAUCUACUAGAACAUUAUUGACGCUGAGACGCGAAAGCGUGGGGAGCAAACAGGAUUAGAUACCCGGGUAGUC